AUUGAACGCUGGCGGCAGGCCUAACACAUGCAAGUCGAGCGGUAACAGAAAGUAGCUUGCUACUUUGCUGACGAGCGGCGGACGGGUGAGUAAUGCUUGGGAACAUGCCUUGAGGUGGGGGACAACAGUUGGAAACGACUGCUAAUACCGCAUAAUGUCUACGGACCAAAGGGGGCUUCGGCUCUCGCCUUUAGAUUGGCCCAAGUGGGAUUAGCUAGUUGGUGAGGUAAUGGCUCACCAAGGCGACGAUCCCUAGCUGGUUUGAGAGGAUGAUCAGCCACACUGGGACUGAGACACGGCCCAGACUCCUACGGGAGGCAGCAGUGGGGAAUAUUGCACAAUGGGCGCAAGCCUGAUGCAGCCAUGCCGCGUGUGUGAAGAAGGCCUUCGGGUUGUAAAGCACUUUCAGUCAGGAGGAAAGGUUARUAGUUAAUACCUGCUAGCUGUGACGUUACUGACAGAAGAAGCACCGGCUAACUCCGUGCCAGCAGCCGCGGUAAUACGGAGGGUGCGAGCGUUAAUCGGAAUUACUGGGCGUAAAGCGUACGCAGGCGGUUUGUUAAGCGAGAUGUGAAAGCCCCGGGCUCAACCUGGGAACUGCAUUUCGAACUGGCAAACUAGAGUGUGAUAGAGGGUGGUAGAAUUUCAGGUGUAGCGGUGAAAUGCGUACAGAUCUGAAGGAAUACCGAUGGCGAAGGCAGCCACCUGGGUCAACACUGACGCUCAUGUACGAAAGCGUGGGGAGCAAACGGGAUUAGAUAC
rnacentral:rRNA from 1 species